UACGAAGGGGGCUAGCGUUGCUCGGAAUCACUGGGCGUAAAGGGUGCGUAGGCGGGUCUUUAAGUCCGGGGUGAAAUCCUGGAGCUCAACUCCAGAACUGCCUUUGAUACUGAGGAUCUUGAGUUCGGGAGAGGUGAGUGGAACUGCGAGUGUAGAGGUGAAAUUCGUAGAUAUUCGCAAGAACACCAGUGGCGAAGGCGGCUCACUGGUCCGGUACUGACGCUGAGGUGCGAAAGCGUGGGGAGCAAACAGG
rnacentral:rRNA from 1 species